UGCAGAUGAUGCAACCAAAAACAAAUAUUUGCUAUCUGAGUUAACGUGACGACUCCCAACCACCAAGAUCGCUGAUGCA
rnacentral:snoRNA from 1 species